rnacentral:ncRNA from 1 species
AUCUUCGGGGCGAGGUGCAAUUCCUCACCGGCAGUUAUAGUCUGCGAGCCUAUUUGGUUGAUUCGGUGAAAUUCCGAAACCGACGGUAAAGUCCGGAUGGAAGAAGAUG